GACGAACCGUGCGACCGUUAUUCGGAAUCACUGGGCUUAAAGCGCGUGUAGGCGGGCCGCCGCGUCGAUGGCUGAAAGCCCCCGGCUCAACCGGGGAAGCGGCCUCGAAACGGGCGGCCUGGAGGGGAGUAGGGGGACCUGGAACUUCCGGUGGAGCGGUGAAAUGCGUUGAGAUCGGAAGGAACGCCCGUGGCGAAAGCGAGGUCCUGGGCUCUCACUGACGCUGAGACGCGAAAGCCAGGGGAGCGAACGGG
rnacentral:rRNA from 1 species